GAUGAACGCUGGCGGCGUGCCUAACACAUGCAAGUCGAGCGAACAGACGAGGAGCUUGCUCCUCUGACGUUAGCGGCGGACGGGUGAGUAACACGUGGAUAACCUCCCUAUAAGACUGGGAUAACUUCGGGAAACCGGAGCUAAUACCGGAUAAUCUAUUGAACCGCAUGGUUCAAUAGUGAAAGACGGUUUUGCUGUCACUUCUAGAUGGAUCCGCGCCGCAUUAGCUAGUUGGUAAGGUAACGGCUUACCAAGGCGACGAUUCGUAGCCGACCUGAGAGAGUGAUCGGCCACACUGGAACUGAGACACGGUCCAGACUCCUACGGGAGGCAGCAGUAGGGAAUCUUCCGCAAUGGGCGGAAGCCUGACGGAGCAACGCCGCGUGAGUGAUGAAGGUCUUCGGAUCGUAAAACUCUGUUAUUAGGGAAGAACAAAUGUGUAAGUAACUAUGCACGUCUUGACGGUACCUAAUCAGAAAGCCACGGCUAACUACGUG
rnacentral:rRNA from 1 species